AUACGAAGGGGGCUAGCGUUGUUCGGAAUUACUGGGCGUAAAGCGCGCGUAGGCGGAUUGGUCAGUUAGGGGUGAAAUCCCAGGGCUUAACCCUGGAACUGCCUCUAAUACUGCCAGUCUUGAGUUCGGGAGAGGUGAGUGGAAUUCCUAGUGUAGAGGUGAAAUUCGUAGAUAUUAGGAAGAACACCAGUGGCGAAGGCGGCUCACUGGCCCGAUACUGACGCUGGGGCGCGAAAGCGUGGGGAGCAAACAGGAUUAGAAACCCUAGUAGUCC
rnacentral:rRNA from 1 species